rnacentral:tRNA from 1 species
GGUUGGCUAGCUCAGUUGGUUAGAGCGUCGAGCUAAUAACGCAUUGCUGCAACUCGAAGGCCGUGGGUUCGAAACCCCCGCUGACCA